rnacentral:misc_RNA from 1 species
UCCAUAAAUUUGUUACACCACAAUCAUCCAAUUCUUGUAAUUUUGGGCUACAGAUUGAAUAAUUGCUAUCACCAUUUUAUUCUGGAUACAAAUACAAGAAAGAAGAAACACAAGAGAAACCAAUUCUUCACUCUCAUAACAUCGUAGUUCCCUCCUCAUGAAUGAACAAUUCCCUGAAGGGAAAGUCUAAAACGCAAAUUUUCUUGUGUCAAGCAAGUUUCACAGGAUACUUAUCUAUACAGUC